rnacentral:rRNA from 1 species
GUACACGCUGUGACUAGCAUAUCAAUAAGCGGAGGAAAAGAAACUAACAAGGAUUCCCCUAGUAACGGCGAGUGAAGCGGGAAGAGCUCAAAUUUGAAAUCUUAAAGGGUUUCCCUUUACGAAUUGUAGUUUAAAGAAGUGUUUUCUGUUGAGGUUUUGGUAAAAGUUCUUUGGAAUAGGACAUCAUAGAGGGUGAGAAUCCCGUAUUUGACCUUUACUUUCAACUUUGUGAUACACUUUCAAAGAGUCGGAUUGUUUGGGAAUGCAGUCCAAAAUGGGUGGUAAAUUUCAUCUAAAGCUAAAUAUUGGCGAGAGACCGAUAGCGAACAAGUACCGUGAGGGAAAGAUGAAAAGAACUUUGAAAAGAGAGUUAAACAGUACGUGAAAUUGUCAAAAGGGAAGCGUUUGACACCAGUGUUGUUUUUCUGAAAAUCAAUUAAAGAACUGUUUAUGCUAAGCUGUUUAGACUUUAUCAGCUAUCUGUUUAGUUUUGAGCUUUUCUUUAAUGCACUUUUCAGUUAACAAGUCAACAUCAAUUUCUUUUGCUGUAGAAAAGCUUGAGGAAGGUGGCUUGAGAUUCGUCUUAAGUGUUUAUAGCCUCUUGCCUAUGCAGUCGGAGAGAUUGAGGUCUGCAGCGUAGAUCCUUCGGGGCUAAAUGCAUUUGUGCUAAGUUAUAGCAUUUUAUAGACAACUUGUUGACUAUGAUUUGUCUUGUAGCUUACUCGCUUAUGUUAUUUUACCUACGCUUAGGAUGUUGACGCGCGUGUGUGCGUG